rnacentral:rRNA from 1 species
UACGUAGGUGGCGAGCGUUGUCCGGAUUUACUGGGCGUAAAGAGCGCGCAGGCGGCUGGUCAAGUCCGGUGUGAAAGCUCCCGGCUUAACUGGGAAAUUGCAUCGGAAACUGAUCGGCUGGAAGGUGGGAGAGGGUAGCGGAAUUCCCGGUGUAGUGGUGAAAUGCGUAGAUAUCGGGAGGAACACCUGCGGCGAAGGCGGGUUGCUGGGCUGACACUGACGCUGAGGCGCGAAAGCUAGGGGAGCGAACGGG